GUACACGCUGUGACUAGCAUAUCAAUAAGCGGAGGAAAAGAAACUAACAAGGAUUCCCCUAGUAACGGCGAGUGAAGCGGGAAGAGCUCAAAUUUGAAAUCUUAAAGGGUUUCCCUUUACGAAUUGUAGUUUAAAGAAGUGUUUUCUGUUGAGGUUUUGGUAAAAGUUCUUUGGAAUAGGACAUCAUAGAGGGUGAGAAUCCCGUAUUUGACCUUUACUUUCAACUUUGUGAUACACUUUCAAAGAGUCGGAUUGUUUGGGAAUGCAGUCCAAAAUGGGUGGUAAAUUUCAUCUAAAGCUAAAUAUUGGCGAGAGACCGAUAGCGAACAAGUACCGUGAGGGAAAGAUGAAAAGAACUUUGAAAAGAGAGUUAAACAGUACGUGAAAUUGUCAAAAGGGAAGCGUUUGACACCAGUGUUGUUUUUCUGAAAAUCAAUUAAAGAACUGUUUAUGCUAAGCUGUUUAGACUUUAUCAGCUAAUCUGUUUAGUUUUGAGCUUUUCUUUAAUGCACUUUUCAGUUAACAAGUCAACAUCAAUUUCUUUUGCUGUAAAAAAGCUUGAGGAAGGUGGCUUGAGAUUCGUCUUAAGUGUUUAUAGCCUCUUGCCUAUGCAGUCGGAGAGAUUGAGGUCUGCAGCGUAGAUCCUUCGGGGCUAAAUGCAUUUGUGCUAAGUUAUAGCAUUUUAUAGACAACUUGUUGACUAUGAUUUGUCUUGUAGCUUACUCGCUUAUGUUAUUUUACCUACGCUUAGGAUGUUGAUAUGCAUGACUGAUAU
rnacentral:rRNA from 1 species